CACCUAACAGUCGGGACGUAGAAAAGGACCCGUGUUGUUACACACAUACUUUUAGGUUUUAUUCGACUUUUCUCUCCUGUGAUAUUUUUAUCUGGUGUUGUUUUAAUCAUGUCUUAGUGUGGAGUAUUUGUUUUGAUUUCCCUUCUUAGUACGGUGUUUGUCUCGUCUUUAUAUGGUGUUUGUUCUUUUGUUUAGAUUUGCAGGUUUGUUUCAAUCCAAAUUCAAUGCAGAUUCAAUGACUUUAACAUCAUCAAUGUUGUGGAUCUGGAUACACGAUUAUUUCGGACAUUUGAAGUUUGUCAUAUCAAUUGUAGGCUUUGUCAUAUGCAUUAGGCCGUUUUAUGCAAUUAACUCGGAUGUCUUGAGUCUAUUUGCAGAUUCAUCCGUAUUAGUUUUUAGUGAAAUUGAAUAUGUAAUGAUUUUGAUUGAUGUAUUCUCGUCUUGGUAUGAUGUUUGUUCUUUUGUUUAGACUUGCAAGUUUGUAUCGAUCCAAAUUCAAUGCAGAUUCAAUGACUUUAACAUCAUCAAUGUUGUGGAUCCGGAUACAUGAUUAUUUCCGAACAUUUGGAGUUUGUCAUAUCAAUUGUAGGCUUUGUCAUAGAUAUUAUGCCGUUUCAUGCUAUUAACUCGGAUGCUGUAAGCCUGUUUGCAGAUUCAUCCUUAUUAGUUUUUUGCGAAAUUGAAUAUAUAAUAAUUUCGAUUGAUGUAUUCUCUAUAGAUUUGAAUAAAUUAAUGAAUGAAUAUUGUUAUUUUUGAGAAAGAAAAAAUAAAGCAAGAGAUAUAAUCAUAAAAUCACCAACGUUACCAUGCAUAUAGGUAGGAAUAAGAUAGUUUUAUUAUUUUUAAUUAACUUUUACGGCUUCAUCACACAUUCACAAGCUACUAAUGUUGUCCGAAAUUGGUCCAUUAAACAAAGGCAAACUCCGAUGCUCAUUUUAUAUGUGUGAGUUUUCAUUAAAUUAGAAUACAUGUGCAAAUCCCAACCAAAUCGCCACUUAAGUCAAAGAAUUGCCUUGAUAAUGAAUCAAACAAGCACUCUGGCACGGCUUCAGGAUGGAUACAUAUAUGAUCUGAACAUUCCUCAUUAUUGUGGCAAGGCGUAGCUAUGAUAUCAAAUCAAAUAAGAAUUAAGGAAGUUAUCAAAAUGGGGUGCAUUAAACGAUUUUUUUUUUUUGGUUACAUGCAUUAAACGAUUUUAAAUAAGAUAAAAAAAACAAAAUUUAAACGUAAGUAAUUAGCUAGGUAUCUUGAUUUUUUUUAUUGGAUAUUCGUAUCCCUUAGAUAAAAUUUAUUUAAAAUUUAAAUUUAUAGUAAUAAAAAUUAGAGUUAAAUAAAUUCGUAUACCUUAUAAAUAUCUAAAUUUUAUUUUUAUUCCCUAAAAAAUGUUUUAGCAAGUUUUGGUCUCACAAAUAUCUUUCGACAUAAAUUUUGAUUCCUGUUUUUAAACUAACUCAUGUAUACUUUUAUAUUUUUAAAUGAGUCUUUGUAUUUAUAUUUAUAAUAUUAUCAAAAUUUUUCCAACUAGUAUUUAGAAUUUUUUAACAUAAGAUAAAUUAAAUAUAAAUUUAAGCGCCAAAUUUUCAUUUUAAUCUAUCCCUUGUUAUAAAAGAAUCAUUUUUUUAAGAGAUGUUUCUAUAAUAUACUGAACAUGACCAUAUAAAAAUUCAAAAUUUCAAAUAAUAUACACGUGUUAACUUAAAAGCAGAAACUAAAUAUCGUAGGAAAAAUAUUUAAGCAAUAAAACUUGCUGAAAUUUUUUAUAGAGACUAUAAACUUAUUUAGCCUUAUCAAUUAAUAUGAAAAUCUGACAUGUAUAGUAUUCAAUUUCAUAUAAAGAUAUGGUACCGGUGUUCAACAAAAUUAAAAGUGUUGAUAAAAAUUACUUACAUAUUGUUGUAGAAAUAAACAUGGAAUAAAAGAUAAUCAUAGUAUAAAUAAACAUAUAAACUUUAGCCAUAUUUUUUCUUUUAU
rnacentral:lncRNA from 1 species